CGUAGCCCAGUGGCUAGCGCCUCUGGUUUGCAUCCAAGGGGUCUGGGGUUCGAAUCCCCUAUAUUA
rnacentral:tRNA from 1 species